rnacentral:lncRNA from 1 species
GAAUGGUAAGUGGUCAGGAUGGUGUGGAAGAUGUCCACAUCCUAAUCCCCAGAACCUGUGACUGUCAUUUUAAAUGACAAAAGGGACCUUGCAGAUGUGACUAAAUUAAUGAUCUAGAGAUGAGGAGAUUAUUUUAGGUUAUCCAGGGGCCCAGUGUAAUCAUAGGGGUCCUCCACAACAGUGAGUAGGAGGAAGGCAACAUGACGGCAGACACAGAGAUCCAAGUGAUGUGGCUAUAAGCCGAGGAAUGCAGGCCACCUGGAAAAGCUGGAGGGCGGGGAGUGGACUCUCCCCCAGAGCCUCCAGAGGAACUGACCCCGCCGACAGCUUAAGUUUAGUGCACAAAAUUCGUUUCAGAUUUCUGAUCACCACACCUGUAAGAACGAUCCUAAAUUUGUGUUGUGUUAAGCCAUAAAGUUUGUGGUUAAGAGUUGUCCCUCACUAUCUGUGGGGGAUUGUUUCCAGGACCCCCUAAGUAUGCCCAAAUCCAUAUACUCAAGUCCUGAAGUAAUGGCAGGUACAUGUGGAAUCCACUGUAUACACAGGCCUCGCAUCCUGCAAACACUGUAUUUGUGAUCUGCAGUUGAAAAAAAUCUGUGUCUAAGUGGACCCAUGCACUUCAAACCCUUGUUGUUUAAGGGUCGAUGGCAUUUGUUACAUCAACAAUAGGAAGCCAAUACAGAUGGUUAAGACUUUGUGACCAGGUGGUUAUCAAAGAAGGAAAGGGAGGGGUCCCAGAAAGGGUUGAGGAAGAGGUGAGGAUUUUGGCUUGGGUGAUGGGGCUGGCAGUGAGACUAUUACAAUCAGGACUGUGGAUAGUGAGGAGGGGGUGGUUGGGGAAUGGUGGGAUGGUAACGUGUCCUGUCUUGGACAUGGUGAGUCUGAAGUGUGCAUGGGACAUCCAGAAGGAAGGUCUGGAACCUAGGGCAGAACUUGAGAGUGAUCAGUACACACAGGCUCCAAUCUGAAAACUGCUGGGAGAACAUGUGGCCAAGGACAUGGGUUUCCUUUUUUGGCUCAUACUCUGUGAUGUGAGACCAAAAGUCUCUCCUAAAUGCAGCUGUUGGGCACUUAAACCACCCUCCUAGCACCCUUCCUUACUCACUUCCCUCUUUGACAGUGAAUAGAAGCCACAUAGACUCUUCCGAGGAGUACCCAUGUGUCACUUCUGGGACAGGCAGCCUCACUCCUGCCAGGGCCGUGCAGGGCAGUCCACAGGCCAAAGGUCCAAGUAGAUUCAGCGCUGCUGAGUUGCUUCUGGGAACCCACCAGUCUCCAAGCAACUUGACUUCAUUAUGCAGAUCCAGCAAGACACAGAGACAUUUUUGAAUCCACAAAUAACUUCUAUCUAGGACCAGUGAUGACCCAGCUUCAAGCAUGCAGCAGAUGAGGACAAUGCUCCAGAGGAUGGAGAAGCAACAUGAUACGAGGAAUCUGUGUCCCUGAAUGACCAUUUGGUGCACAGCUGCCCCAAUGACCUGGAUCACUCACUUCAGACAGGUUAAUUCCCUUCAGAGCUGUUACGUGAGAAAGAAUAAACUUCUUUGUUCUUUAA